rnacentral:rRNA from 1 species
GUGGGGAAUAUUGGACAAUGGGCGAAAGCCUGAUCCAGCCAUGCCGCGUGUGUGAAGAAGGUCUUCGGAUUGUAAAGCACUUUAAGUUGGGAGGAAGGGUAGUAACCUAAUACGUUGCUACUUUGACGUUACCGACAGAAUAAGCACCGGCUAACUUCGUGCCAGCAGCCGCGGUAAUACGUAGGGUGCAAGCGUUAAUCGGAAUUACUGGGCGUAAAGCGCGCGUAGGUGGUUCAGUAAGUUGGAAGUGAAAUCCCCGGGCUCAACCUGGGAACUGCUUUCAAAACUGCUGAGCUAGAGUACGGUAGAGGGUGGUGGAAUUUCCUGUGUAGCGGUGAAAUGCGUAGAUAUAGGAAGGAACACCAGUGGCGAAGGCGACCACCUGGACUGAUACUGACACUGAGGUGCGAAAGCGUGGGGAGCAAACAGGAUUAGAUACCCGUGUAGUCC